rnacentral:rRNA from 1 species
GUGGGGAAUAUUGGACAAUGGGCGCAAGCCUGAUCCAGCCAUGCCGCGUGAGUGAUGAAGGCCCUAGGGUUGUAAAGCUCUUUCAGUGGGGACGAUAAUGACGGUACCCACAGAAGAAGCCCCGGCUAACUUCGUGCCAGCAGCCGCGGUAAUACGAAGGGGGCUAGCGUUGUUCGGAUUUACUGGGCGUAAAGCGCACGUAGGCGGAGCGUUAAGUCGAGGGUGAAAUCCUGGAGCUCAACUCCAGAACUGCCUUCGAUACUGGCGAUCUUGAGUCCGGAAGAGGUGAGUGGAACUCCUAGUGUAGAGGUGGAAUUCGUAGAUAUUAGGAAGAACACCAGUGGCGAAGGCGGCUCACUGGUCCGGUACUGACGCUGAGGUGCGAAAGCGUGGGGAGCAAACAGGAUUAGAUACCCUAGUAGUCC